rnacentral:lncRNA from 1 species
UGGGAAGGACUUCCCACGGAAAAAGAAAUGCUAAGGGAGUUCCUACCGAGUCCAGUGACGGGAGAAGACAGAGAAAGGAAGGAGAUAGUCGUGAUGGGAGUCCUCUACAUCGCUGCUGCUACUCUCCGUACCAUGGAAAGCUGAGCUCUUCACUAGGGCAGGAUGAAGCCCUAACAAGGACGACAACGGUUAUUGUAUCAUUUUUAUUUAUGUUCUUGGAAUUGUAUGAACUUCUUUGAUCUUAAUGAAUAUUUUCUUUAUCCCAUAUUUAAAUUCUGUGAUUUUAAGUAUGGUGUUUAUACAGAUAUUCUUCAUGAUCACCAAGUAAAAACAAGAUAGUUCAUGCUUAAGGAAGAUGCAGUGUGCUGCCACCUUAGAUUA